GGAUCGGUAGCUCAAUGGUAGAGCAGUUGACUCUUAAUCAAUUGGUUGAAGGUUCGAGUCCUUCCCGGUCCACCA
rnacentral:tRNA from 1 species